UGCGUAGGCGGGUCUUUAAGUCAGGGGUGAAAUCCUGGAGCUCAACUCCAGAACUGCCUUUGAUACUGAGGAUCUUGAGUUCGGGAGAGGUGAGUGGAACUGCGAGUGUAGAGGUGAAAUUCGUAGAUAUUCGCAAGAACACCAGUGGCGAAGGCGACUCACUGGCCCGAUACUGACGCUGAGGCACGAAAGCGUGGGGAGCAAACA
rnacentral:rRNA from 1 species